UUGCAUGUGAAAUGUCUCCUCCUCAUUCCUUUAGGAGCAGGGAUAUAUCCAUAACAUGCCACAGUAAAAGAGUUUUCAGGGCUGCCAAUCUUAUAGUAGAGGUUGAGUAGUAAUAGAUUUCUCUUGCAUAA